AAAAACAUGUUGAUGAGAAGAGUAGACUAAAAAGUAGCGUGAAUAGCGACUAUCGUUGGUGGAAGGAUAGCAUGUGAAUUUAGUUGAAGAUGAUCUCGGAAUCAUGAUUUACGAUGAAAGUCAAAAAUCCGGUAGGAACCGUUAUUUUCCCAAGCAUUUUGAGUGCUGUUGAGGUAAUUCACGUGAAUGAAUUACGAAUAAGGGGUGGUAACGCGGUAAAUCGUCUCCUAA
rnacentral:ncRNA from 1 species